GAUGAACGCUGGCGGCGUGCCUAAUACAUGCAAGUCGAGCGAACGGACGAGAAGCUUGCUUCUCUGAUGUUAGCGGCGGACGGGUGAGUAACACGUGGAUAACCUACCUAUAAGACUGGGAUAACUUCGGGAAACCGGAGCUAAUACCGGAUAAUAUUUUGAACCGCAUGGUUCAAAAGUGAAAGACGGUCUUGCUGUCACUUAUAGAUGGAUCCGCGCUGCAUUAGCUAGUUGGUAAGGUAACGGCUUACCAAGGCAACGAUGCAUAGCCGACCUGAGAGGGUGAUCGGCCACACUGGAACUGAGACACGGUCCAGACUCCUACGGGAGGCAGCAGUAGGGAAUCUUCCGCAAUGGGCGAAAGCCUGACGGAGCAACGCCGCGUGAGUGAUGAAGGUCUUCGGAUCGUAAAACUCUGUUAUUAGGGAAGAACAUAUGUGUAAGUAACUGUGCACAGCUUGACGGUACCUAAUCAGAAAGCCACGGCUAACUACGU
rnacentral:rRNA from 1 species